rnacentral:lncRNA from 12 species
CUCACAAUGACCACUGGAUGACAGUCUUCGAGGAUCUGUGAUGCUGGAAGGGAGCUGAGAGCUACAGAGAAGGGGAUAGACAUCCCCAGAGAAGCAUGUUGUGGGUGCGAGUAGAGACUGAGCUCUGCGUCCUCAGCUUCUUGUCCCAGCUCUGCCUCAGAGAAGCCUGUUGUUUUCAGCUCUGGGCUUCACUCUCCUCGUUGGGAAAAUAUGAGUAAGACUAGAGCCCCCCUCCUAGAUGUGUUGUGAGAGUUAAAUAAAGUGAUGAAUACACAGCGCACCACCCAGGAUAAGGAGGAUAAGGCGAGUUACAACAUCACAACAAGAGCCAGUAUUUUCUGAUGUGCGCUACUCCCAGUCCCUGUGCUGAGAGCUUUGACUCCAUUCUGCAGCUGAGCUCUCCAGGAGUCUGGGGAGCAGAUGGACAUUUUAAUAAUGAGGAGUCUACACUGGAGGCUUUACUGUGGGAGGAGCCCACAGGCUGGCACAACAAGCCUUGGAAACUUCCUUGAAGCCCAACUGAGAUGUUGGAACAAGCCGAUGACUGACUCGGUUCCCACACUGGAAUGCCGGCCUGGGGAAGAAUGCAGCAGAGCUUUCUGGCUGCCUGCGACCCUCAGCUACGAUGGGCCUCCGACAUUCUCUUGCUCGUGCAUCAAGCCUUCGGCUGCUCACUGCCAAGUAUUAAGUGCUUGUUCCACAAAGCUGGUGUAG